rnacentral:rRNA from 1 species
AUUGAACGCUGGCGGCAUGCCUUACACAUGCAAGUCGAACGGUAACGGGCCUUCGGGUGCCGACGAGUGGCGAACGGGUGAGUAAUGUAUCGGAACGUACCUUUCAGUGGGGGAUAACGUAGCGAAAGUUACGCUAAUACCGCAUAUUCUGUGAGCAGGAAAGCAGGGGAUCGCAAGACCUUGCGCUGAUUGAGCGGCCGAUAUCAGAUUAGCUAGUUGGUGAGGUAAAGGCUCACCAAGGCGAAGAUCUGUAGCGGGUCUGAGAGGAUGAUCCGCCACACUGGAACUGAGACACGGUCCAGACUCCUACGGGAGGCAGCAGUGGGGAAUUUUGGACAAUGGGGGCAACCCUGAUCCAGCCAUGCCGCGUGAGUGAAGAAGGCCUUCGGGUUGUAAAGCUCUUUCGGCCGGGAAGAAAUCGCAUGGGUUAAUACCCUGUGCGGAUGACGGUACCGGCAUAAGAAGCACCGGCUAACUACGUGCCAGCCGCCGCGGUAACAC